rnacentral:rRNA from 1 species
UACGGAGGGUGCAAGCGUUAUCCGGUUUCACUGGGUUUAAAGGGUGCGUAGGUGGGCCUGUAAGUCAGCGGUGAAAUCUCCGGGCUUAACCCGGAAACUGCCAUUGAUACUAUAGGUCUUGAAUUAUCUGGAGGUAAGCGGAAUAUGUCAUGUAGCGGUGAAAUGCUUAGAUAUGACAUAGAACACCAAUUGCGAAGGCAGCUUACUACGGAUCGAUUGACACUGAGGCACGAAAGCGUGGGGAUCAAACAGG